UCAGAGAGCAGGCCAGCUCAAGGGCAUGCACACAGAGUGGGCAAAUGAACAAUAAAUUUGGAGGUCUGGGGCCCUCCCUCUGCUGGAGAUGUAUUUGCAUGGGUGGGCCUUGUCUUUGA
rnacentral:pre_miRNA from 1 species